UGGAUCCAGACUUUGAUUAUGGCUCAGGACGAACGCUGGCGGCGUGCCUAACGCAUGCAAGUCGAACGGGGUCGGCCCCUUCGGGGACUGACUUAGUGGCGAACGGGUGAGUAACGCUUGAAUAACCUGCCUUUCAGUGGGGGACAACAGUUGGAAACGACUGCUAAUACCGCAUGAUACUUUUCGGGGGCAUCCCUGAAAAGUCAAAGCUUUAUGUGCUGAAAGAUGGAUUCGCGUCUGAUUAGCUGGUUGGCGGGGUAACGGCCCACCAAGGCGACGAUCAGUAGCCGGUCUGAGAGGAUGAACGGCCACAUUGGGACUGAGAUACGGCCCAGACUCCUACGGGAGGCAGCAGUGGGGAAUAUUGGGCAAUGGGGGAAACCCUGACCCAGCAACGCCGCGUGAAGGAAGAAGGCUUUCGGGUUGUAAACUUCUUUUACCAGGGACGAAGGACGUGACGGUACCUGGAGAAAAAGCAACGGCUAACUACGUGCCAGCAGCCGCGGUAAUACGUAGGUUGCAAGCGUUGUCCGGAUUUACUGGGUGUAAAGGGCGUGUAGGCGGAGAAGCAAGUUGGGAGUGAAAUCCAUGGGCUCAACCCAUGAACUGCUCUCAAAACUGUUUCCCUUGAGUAUCGGAGAGGCAAGCGGAAUUCCUAGUGUAGCGGUGAAAUGCGUAGAUAUUAGGAGGAACACCAGUGGCGAAGGCGGCUUGCUGGACGACAACUGACGCUGAGGCGCGAAAGCGUGGGGAGCAAACAGGAUUAGAUACCCUGGUAGUCCACGCUGUAAGCGAUGAAUACUAGGUGUGGGGGGACUGACCCCCUCCGUGCCGCAGUUAACACAAUAAGUAUUCCACCUGGGGAGUACGACCGCAAGGUUGCAACUCAAAUGA
rnacentral:rRNA from 1 species